UCAGCCAUCUAAGCCAGGUAACACUCCCCCUCGCCGCUUUUCUCUCUACUUCUCUCCAACUCUCCUCUGUAAGCCCCCUAAAAUCCAAAGCCUGUGGCCACCAUGGCCACCGCCGUGGCAGCCACCGCGAGUGUUACUCCCAAAUGACCCUGGCUAAAAAGCCGCGAACUCCGACGACCACCUAGACCUCAAAUCUCUCUAAAACCAAACCUAAACCGUAAAUCUAGACCCUAAGGCCACCACUCCCCUCCCUAUCCGAAGCCACGACCAACGUGACCUUUACUUUUAUCAACGGAAACCCCCAAAUGUUUCAAAACGUUCUCUCCUCUAACAGACCCGAAACAAAAGACGAAACGACGACUUACCCUGGUGACUCAACGGGGUUCGAUUUCUCAAGCGACGGUGACCGUUCUCUCCUAUGCUCCAAAAGGAUAUGGGCUCAAUUAUGGUGAGCCUCAAUGGCAGCAGUAGUUGGCCGACCAUGGAGCUUUCUCUGUAGAUUCACGCACUAUCUCGGGGCUCUGGGUUGAUCUGUGCACGCCGGCUCAGGUUCCUGUGCACGCUCGGGGGUUCAUGGACACUGUGUGCACUACCUCGGUAUUCUGGGAAUGGUGAGAGCCGUUGGAUCUCAUCAGAUCCAACGGCGCUGGCUUCGGUGGCGCUUGGCAUAAGGAAAAAACCCUAAUGGUCUCUUUAUCUGGAUCGUUGGAUUAGAAGCAGAUCCAACGGUCCAGGGUGAGCGGCGGUUGUAACCUUGGACAGAAGCUGGAAACCGUAACGUCUCGGGCCUUCACGUGUGGGCUACGGUGUGGGCUGCUGAAUCCCAAACCUAUCACUUUAGUUUGGGCUUGUACCCUUCAGCCUGUUUUAGGAGUUGAUGUAGGCCCUGUAACAACACCAUUAAUAAUAUUUUUAGUCUAUGUUAUA